rnacentral:tRNA from 1 species
GCCCGGAUGGCUCAAUGGUAGAGCAUCUGUCUUCGGAACAGAAGGCUGGGGUUCGAGUCCCCCUUCGGGUG